rnacentral:rRNA from 1 species
UGGGGAAUAUUGCACAAUGGGCGAAAGCCUGAUGCAGCGACGCCGCGUGAGCGAAGAAGUAUUUCGGUAUGUAAAGCUCUAUCAGCAGGGAAGAAAAUGACGGUACCUGACUAAGAAGCCCCGGCUAACUACGUGCC